UAAUACGUAGGGUGCGAGCGUUAAUCGGAAUUACUGGGCGUAAAGCGUGCGCAGGCGGUUGCGCAAGACAGGUGUGAAAUCCCCGGGCUUAACCUGGGAACUGCACUUGUGACUGCGUGACUGGAGUACGGCAGAGGGGGAUGGAAUUCCGCGUGUAGCAGUGAAAUGCGUAGAUAUGCGGAGGAACACCGAUGGCGAAGGCAGUCCUCUGGGCCUGUACUGACGCUCAUGCACGAAAGCGUGGGGAGCAAACAGG
rnacentral:rRNA from 1 species